UCAAGUGACAUGUGCGUUAUUACAGUGACCUUCUGUGUCUUCAAUUUGAAGACACAGAAGGUCACUGUAAUAACGCACAUGUCAUUUGAA
rnacentral:pre_miRNA from 1 species